AAUCAGUGUGGCCAUACCACGUGGUUUGUGACGUCAUUUUGGCUAGCACGCUAAGUAGAAAUUUGUCAACAUUGGCCCCGCUUAGAAAUUUCAAAUCCACGUAAGUAUCUUAUUAUUUACUCUUUUUUGACGAAAUAAAGCGCAGGCUAAGGGAAAAGUUGAGCACUAUUCCCGGUUAUAUAAAUAUUUGUCACCAGAUGAGUAGUUUAGUCUAUCAUUCGAGGCAAAUUCCUAGUUUUUACGUUACAAUGCACGCAAGCACGACAAGCACAUUUGAAAUCGUCCAAAAUAUCUGUUUUAUAUUCCUUUUUGCAGUGAACCAAUAUGUGCGAACGUGAUUAAUUCCAUAUAAAAUGUGUUUUGUCCGAAAAAAUUACCUGAAAACACCACUUAAUGACAUUUCUAAUGUACAUCAACACUUUGGCUAACACGACAAGCAACGAAAUUCAAGGCAAGCACGGCAAGUCGAUAUAUUUGGCUAGAACGACUAGUUGUUAUUAAUUAUGUUUCUGAAGCGAUGUUAUUGUUUCAUAAAAAAAUAAAACUAUUAAAAAUGUUAUAAUUCCAUUUUCAUAUAGUCACUCGCGGAUAACAGGCUUAUAAGUCGUGUUUAUUUCAUAUUAUGCCGUAAAUUGACCUCCGAUGCAUUUAGAUUCCAACCCAAACUAUUGUUAAAACUUUCAGGCACUUCUUCUAUACAACCUCGAAAAAGAAUGUGUACAAACUCGUUGGUCAAUAUAACGUCGAUGGCAAAGGUGAAGAUGAACCAAACAUCAAGAGCUAUUCCGAUAUUCGUGACCACGAGUUUGACAACCCGGGGAGAUUGCGCGUGAAACCGAAGGCAAAAGAGGCCAAAAUGGACUCGAGUCGAAAUGCCGUUGCCAGGGAAACUUUAGGUGUACGGUGGGACUGUGCGAGGAGAAACGAAAGCAAGUUAUUGCCUACGUACAGAAUUGGACUAGACAUAGAAGAAAUUUGAUAAGAAACCGCCUUUCUGAAGAAUUCCGUGUUUUAGUAGCUUGACUUGAGCGAGAUAUAAAUAAUUAUUCAUGUG